ACUGCUAUUUGGGUGAGGAUAAGCCAUGCGAGUUGGAUGGGAUACCUAAAGUUCCCAUAGCAAACUGCUUAGUAACACAUGAUCAACUUGCCCUAUGGAGAAAACUAACCUCGGGAAACUGAGGAUAAUGUUUCAUAGUUGAAUAGGCUUGGAAAAGUUUUUCAAUGAAAGGAAUAAGAUAAAUGGUUCUUAUUUGCCAUAGGAUAGGAUCGUGGUCGAUUAUGGUAGUUGGUGAGAUAACGGCUCACCAAGCCGAUAAUCGAUAGGGGCCGUGAGAGCGGGAGCCCCAAGAUGGGUACUGAGACAGCGACCCAGGCCUUACGAGGCGCAGCAGGCGCGAGACCUCCGCAAUACACGAAAGUGUGACGGGGUUACCCAAAGUGUCCUCUUAAGAACUGUGGUAGGUGAGUAAUGUCCCCUGCUAGAAAGGAGAGGGCAAGGCUGGUGCCAGCCGCCGCGGUAAAACCAGCUCUUCAAGUGGUCGGGAUAAUUAUUGGGCUUAAAGUGUCCGUAGCCGGUUUAGUAAGUUCCUGGUAAAAUCGGGUAGCUUAACUAUCUGCAUGCUAGGAAUACUGCUAUACUAGAGGGCGGGAGAGGUCUGAGGUACUACAGGGGUAGGGGUGAAAUCUUAUAAUCCUUGUAGGACCACCAGUGGCGAAGGCGUCAGACUGGAACGCGCCUGACGGUGAGGGACGAAAGCCAGGGGAGCGAACCGGAUUAGAUACCCGGGUAGUCCUGGCCGUAAACGAUGCAUACUAGGUGAUGGUACGGCCAUGAGCCGUAUCAGUGCCGUAGGGAAACCGUUAAGUGUGCCGCCUGGGAAGUACGGUCGCAAGGCUAAAACUUAAAGGAAUUGGCGGGGGAGCACCACAAGGGGUGAAGCCUGCGGUUCAAUUGGACCCAACGCCGGGAAACUUACCAGGGGAGACAGCAGAAUGAGGGUCAGGUUACGACCUUACCUGAUGAGCUGAGAGGAGGUGCAUGGCCGUCGCCAGUUCGUGCUGUGAGGUAUCCUGUUAAGUCAGGCAACGAACGAGAUCCGCACCUUUAUUUGCCAACAAGGAGUUACGACUUCGUUGGGAACACUAAAGGACCGCCGUCGAUAAGACGGAGGAAGGAGCGGGCAAAGGCAGGUCAGUAUGCCCCGAAACCCCUGGGCUACACGCGGGCUGCAAUGGUAUGAACAAUGGGCUGUAACUCCGAAAGGAGAAACCAAUCCCGAAAUCAUAUCACAGUGGGGAUUGUUGGCUGUAACCCGCCGACAUGAACGUGGAAUCCCUAGUAAUCGUGUGUCAUCAUCGCACGGUGAAUACGUCUCUGCUCCUUGCACACACCGCCCGUCGCUCCAUCCGAGUGUACUAAAAAUGAGGUUUGGUCAGACUGGUCAUAUCGAGUUUCUAGUAUGCGAGGAGGGAGAAGUC
rnacentral:rRNA from 1 species